rnacentral:lncRNA from 1 species
GAUAAAAAAAAAUUAAAACUGGAUCCCUUGGGAAGAAAUGUUAUGGUGUGUAACAAUUUCAUUGGAACCACGCAUAAAGAAAAGAAAUUGAGAUUUCAUGAAGGUACAUUCGUCAAUUCAUUGGUAAAAACUUGAUCAAAUUAAUUUGUCACCGUCAAUUCUUUGGUGUUGAAUUUUGGGUUUCACUCAGCUCGUAGUGGCACGAAACUAAGAUCAUAAACACAGAUGUUGCGUAACCAUAAACCUCAGUGGUAGUUUCUGAGAGUCUCUAGGGUUACAGUGAUGAAACGAAUGUUAUGGAGAAGUGUAAUGGGGAUGGUGAAAGAAGACAUAGUACCUCUGCUGUGAAAGAAAGGACCAAGCAGGAGACUCUUAACUCAUGUGAGAAGAGUGUGAGGUAGCUCACGAUUAGAAUAAAUAAGUUAGCCUUAUUGGGAAGACAAGGUUUGUGUAUACCAAGUCGUGAAGGCAAUUAUUCAAAAUCUUAUGAGGCUUGGGACACAUACAGCAGCAUGCUUCUAGGGACACUUAAGUAAUUCAGCAAAUAUAUCCCCAUAAAUAAACGAACAUACAAAAAAAAUAUUUUUGGAGUGUUUGAAAUUUAUAUAUAAAAAAAAAUAAAAAUAAAAUUAAAAAAGAAAAAAAAUAGAAAAGAUUAAAAAUAAGACAAGAAAAAAAUAGAAAAGAAAACCGAACCCGAACGUUCGGUUGAUUUCGGUUGGAAAAAAAUUGAAAAACCGAACCCGAACCUUCGGUUGGUUUCGGUUCCACAAAAUUUUGAAAAACCGAACCCGAACCUUCGGUUGGUUUCGGUUCUUGAAAAUUUUGAAAAACCGAACCCGAACCUUCGGUUGGUUUCGGUUCUUGAAAAUUUUGAAAAACCGAACCCGAACCUUCGGUUGGUUUCGGUU